UUAAGUUCAGCGGGUAGUCUUACCUGAUUUGAGGUCAAAAUUGUCAAGUGUUGUCCUGUGAAGGACGGUUAGAAGCAGGUCUAUAAUAGCCAUCUAAUCCACGGCGUAGAUAAUUAUCACACCAAUAGAUUAGCGGCUUAACCCACUAAUACAUUUCAGAGGAGCAGACCACGAUUGUGGACCUGCAACCCCCACAUCCA
rnacentral:misc_RNA from 1 species